rnacentral:rRNA from 1 species
GCUAAGAAUAUUCCGCAAUGGACGAAAGUCUGACGGAGCGACGCCGCGUGGAUGAUGAAGGCCGGAAGGUUGUAAAAUCCUUUUAUGACUGAGGAAUAAGCAGUGUGAGAGAAACGCAUUGUGGUGACUGUAGGUCAUGAAUAAGCAACGGCUAAUUACGUGCCAGCAGCCGCGGUAACACGUAAGUUGCGAGCGUUGUUCGGAAUUAUUGGGCGUAAAGGGCAUGUAGGCGGUUCUGCAAGUCUGGUGUGAAAUGCCGGGGCUCAACCCCGGAACUGCGUUGGAAACUGCAGAACUUGAGUCGCUGAGGGGCAGCCAGAAUUCCAGGUGUAGGGGUGAAAUCUGUAGAUAUCUGGAAGAAUACCAAUGGCGAAGGCAGGCUGCCAGCAGAUGACUGACGCUGAGGUGCGAAGGUGCGGGGAGCAAACAGG